rnacentral:rRNA from 1 species
CAGAGGGGGCAAGCGUUGUUCGGAAUUACUGGGCGUAAAGGGCGCGUAGGCGGCCUUCUAAGUCGAACGUGAAAUCCCCGGGCUCAACCCGGGAACUGCGUCCGAUACUGGAAGGCUUGAAUCCGGGAGAGGGAUGCGGAAUUCCAGGUGUAGCGGUGAAAUGCGUAGAUAUCCGGAGGAACACCGGUGGCGAAGGCGGCAUCCUGGACCGGCAUUGACGCUGAGGCGCGAAAGCCAGGGGAGCAAACGGGAUUAGAUACCCCGGUAGUCCUGGCCCUAAACGAUGAAUGCUUGGUGUGGCGGGUAUCGAUCCCUGCCGUGCCGAAGCUAACGCAUUAAGCAUUCCGCCUGGGGAGUACGGUCGCAAGGCUG